UACGGAGGGUGCAAGCGUUAUCCGGAUUCACUGGGGUUAAAGGGCGCGUAGGCGGUCAGCACAAGUCAGUUGUGAAAUCUCCGGGCUUAACUCGGAAAGGUCAACUGAUACUGUGCGACUAGAGUGCGGAAGGGGCAACUGGAAUUCUCGGUGUAGCGGUGAAAUGCGUAGAUAUCGAGAGGAACACCUGCGGCGAAGGCGGGUUGCUGGGCCGACACUGACGCUGAUGCGCGAAAGCCAGGGGAGCGAACGGG
rnacentral:rRNA from 1 species